rnacentral:misc_RNA from 1 species
ACAUAUUUUUGCAAGCGUCCAGGUUCCAUUUACAUUUUUCCUUUUGUGUUUGAAAUGUGUGGCUACUUCCUUGGCAAUAUGCAGUUAGCACUUAAAAUUGCAUGAUGCAUGAUAUUUGAAUGUUUGACCUUGCUUUUUUAUGCAAGUUUAGGGUAAUACUGUUAUCUCUGUUUUCUUCAGGCUAUCACCUCAAGUUUGGUUG